rnacentral:rRNA from 1 species
GACGAACCGUGCAAACGUUGUUCGGAAUCACUGGGCUUAAAGGGCGCGUAGGCGGGCCAGCCAGUCUGUGGUGAAAGCCUCCAGCUUAACUGGAGAAGUGCCGUGGAUACUGCUGGCCUCGAGGAGGGUAGGGGCACCUGGAACGGUCGGUGGAGCGGUGAAAUGCGUUGAUAUCGACCGGAACUCCGGUGGCGAAGGCGAGGUGCUGGGCCCUUUCUGACGCUGAUGCGCGAAAGCCAGGGGAGCAAACGGG